rnacentral:rRNA from 1 species
CGCGCAGGCGGCCUUUCAAGUCAGGGGUGAAAGCCCGGAGCUCAACUCCGGAAUUGCCUUUGAAACUGCAAGGCUUGAGUACGGGAGAGGUGAGUGGAAUUCCCAGUGUAGAGGUGAAAUUCGUAGAUAUUGGGAAGAACACCGGUGGCGAAGGCGGCUCACUGGCCCGUAACUGACGCUCAGGCGCGACAGCGUGGGGAUCAAACAGGAUUAGAUACCCUGGUAGUCCACGCCGUAAACGAUGAACGCUAGCCGUUGGCAAGCUUGCUUGUCAGUGGCGCAGCUAACGCAUUAAGCGUUCCGCCUGGGGAGUACGGCCGCAAGGUUGAA